rnacentral:rRNA from 1 species
UACGUAGGGUGCAAGCGUUGUCCGGAAUCAUUGGGCGUAAAGCGCGCGUAGGUGGCCAUUUAAGUCCGCUGUGAAAGUCAAAGGCUCAACCUUUGAAAGCCGGUGGAUACUGGAUGGCUAGAGUACGGAAGGGGCGAGUGGAAUUCCUGGUGUAGCGGUGGAAUGCGCAGAUAUCAGGAGGAACACCAAUAGCGAAGGCAGCUCGCUGGGACGUUACUGACACUAAGGCGCGAAAGCGUGGGGAGCGAACAGG